ensembl:lncRNA
UAUUUUCUCUAGGGAGCGUCUGAAGACUUGAUCAUUGUGGUUAGAUUCUUGCUCUUUGAGAGAGAAGUGUGUUUCUAGAGCUUGCUGGCAUGUUCGUGGGAUUUAAUUUGUGUGCUUGGUGGAGUUUCCUGACUGGACGGAAUUCCUAAGCAUAAGCCCAACUGUCUUCACCACUUUGACCAUGAGCCAGAAUAGCAAACUAGCAAACAUAAGGACUUGCAACUACAUCAAUACCUUGUGUUUGGUUGUAGACGUGAAAUCUCUGCAAAGUGAAAAAGCUGUGUUUAUGCUUGGGUAGCAAACGGAAAUAUAACACUUCAGCAUCUGUAAUAUAGCAUCUUUAUCAAAGAAGCGAGUACUUUCCUAAUGUUUUCUAUUGACGUGUUUUCAUGCAGAUUGCAAUGUGAGAGUUCACAAGAGUUGUAGAGAAAACAUCCCAGUUUGUCCCAAAAGCAGAAUGAAGGUAUGAAUAUUUUUUUUUAUUCUAAAAUGUACCAUAUUCUUUCAGUUAGACAUCAAGAAAAGUGUUUUCCUUGUCUUCUGUUUAAACUCUCUUCCUUAUUUCUGUUUCAUAAACAACAGUUUACUGUACCAGAGUCCACCAAUAUGCCUGCCGUCACUCUACGAACAAAAUGUGGGUUUGUUGGUUUUGUCUCUCUUUGUAUAGUCUUAUUUUUUCAUGGCAGCUGAUCUUAAUUUUGCAUGUGAAUUGUUAUUUAUUUAUUUUUUAUUUUUUUGUGUAGCGUCCACAAUGCGGGAUCGGCCCUGGUCUGCUAUCUUCUCUCCAGAGGAACAUUCUGUGAUUGUCCCGUCCAGACGAGCCACCAGUAUUAUGCCCUUCCACAGCAGCAACCUCUCGAAAAGCAUGUCCAUCAACAAUAUUGCAAUGUUUGACGAUAUGCCUCUGAGAGGCAUGCGGUAUCUGUCUCAAUCCACAGACUCUCUCCACAAACCCAUCAAGGUUACAGCGUCCAAUGAGUCUCUAGAUGAAGGUAAGCAGCCUUAUUUCUUUUCCCCAGUAUAAUACCAGAUGCAAUUUCUUGCCUUCUCAGAAGCUUCAGAUAGCUUUCAAGCUGAGAUCUUUUAGGGGAGAGUGAAUAAAUAAUUAAGUCAGAGCUGUGGCUUCA